CCGACCCUUCCCUCGUUUUACCAUCCGUAUCCCUCACAGCCAGCCAGGCUCUGCCAACUGUGACGUUUUGUGUCGGACGAACAUCGCGGACUCGAAGAGUCACAGCCACGUAUCGCAAUUUUAUUUUUUUUAUCACCAUCGUUAAGAGAGACGGUCGGAGUGAAAGAGAGGUUGCGGUAAACAACAGUUGCGUGUCAAAAAGGCCGAAGUCGUCACAUCGUCUGCGACUCAACCACGUCUAUACGUAUGGACUGUUCUUUGGUGGCGGGUCAGAGGUGGCGGGGAGCAGAAGUUGGAGGUGGAGGUCGUGAAAUAACGAGAUAUUUUUCAAACCUCGGCGACGCUGCAUUAUCUGGGCUUUAUUUACAACUAAAUAUACCGGUCCUUCUCUUCGUUGGGAUCGUUAAAAAAUUCAAACGACUUCAGAGCGUGCCGAAAUUUCAAGUACGAUCGCUUCACUUCACAUUGUUUCCGAUAUAACAUGUUUGUUGGUAAUUGUUAUGGAAAUCAGGAAAAUGGUCUACACAGGAAAUUCUUUGAUAUAUCUUUUGCAUAAAUUCUCGUAAUCGGAAGAAUUUUUGCAACGGAAAAACCGAAAUUUUUUCCGCGAUUCAAUGCUUUUAUUCUUUUUACAAAUGUCGGGGAACAGGAAAUCGGUUUUUACUUCUAAUAAUUAAUUGAAAUCUGGUAGUUGUCCUGUAACCAUGAAUUGUACGUACAGCGUACAACUUUGAGAUAAAUACCUUAUAAUGUCAGAAUAAAUUUUGCAGGCGAAAGUAACGUAAGAAAUAUCCAUUUGUUCAAAUCGGCGUGUGUCCCCCGAUUGUGAGCUAAGAAUAAACGUCCGAAUACCUGCAUUGGCAGAGAAGAGUCGCCGAGCUCGUUUCAUUGUCAGUUUGUGCAUACGACGUUAUAUAUAUAUAUAUAUACAUAUAUAUACAAGGUAUUUGUAGCGAAGGGAAUAAGAAUUUCGCGAGAGAAUUCCGGCUGCGGCAGAUCGUUUCCCAUUUGGUCCUUGUAUAGGUCUAUACCUAUAUAUACGAGCACAUAACUUCGUUUCGUGUACUCGCUCACGCGUGUUGUACGAAUUUCGUUAUGUAUGUGUAUAAUAUGUGUAUACAGGUAUGCCUAUGCAAGUUGUAAAAAUCUGUAAAUUGUGAGUUACAAACCGUGGUGUUAUUUCAUGUCGAAAAUUUGUUGAAUUUUUUUUUUGCUCAGUACCUUCGAUUUACCGAAAUGCUUGUGAAAACGAAAACAGACAUAAUACUCGUGUAAAAAUAAACUGGUGGAAGACACGUAUCCUGGUCUCCAUUGCAUACGGAAAUAACAGAAUUAUAGGUGAAAGUACAUAUAAUUUUGGCAUAUAACUUUGUUUAUUUCAUUACAAACAACGAAUAAACGAAACUGUACGUAGUUUUAUCAAUUGUAAUUGAAAAACGAAACUUACUUUCAACUUUGACACGACGUAUAUUACCGCACACGUACUAUAUACUGCAUCGAUACGUAUGUAUUUCGUUGUCGCAAUUUAAGAAUCUCCCCUCUUCGAUUCACCGGCAAGUUGUUCGUGACGAAAAAAAAUAAAAUAAAAAUUGCACGACAAAAUUGCAGUCAACGUGUAUAAACGACCACGUAAAAUAGAUAUAAUCCACCUACGUCAGGUAUACGUAUGAUAAUUACGUGCGUCGCGACGUCGUCACUUCCGAUCGGAGUUAUAAAAAAAAAGUCAGUGAAAUAUCGGGUUGUGUGCAGGCCGUUGACGCUGCCGAGAAAACCAGACAAGUCGAAAUACCGGUGGUUUGUACGUAUAGCGUCGUACC